rnacentral:rRNA from 12 species
AGGAGUCUUGAGAAGAGCUGUCCUUAGUACGAGAGGACCGGGACGGACUAACCUCUGGUGUGCCAGUUGUCCUGCCAAGGGCACGGCUGGUUGGCUACGUUGGGAAGUGAUAACCGCUGAAAGCAUCUAAGCGGGAAGCACGCUUCGAGAUGAGGGCUCCCACCCUUUGUGGGGUAAGGACCCCGGAAGAUCACCGGGUGAUAGGUCGGAUGUGGAAGCGUAGUAAUGCGCGGAGCUGACCGAUACUAAUAGUCCGAGGGCUU